UGGCUAAAGAGCAAAUGUGCGUAUUUUAUGAAAAUCAUUUUCACUAUAAAAUCACUAAGAAUUGGGUAAAUUAUGACAAACACAGCUUUUUCAAAAAGUAUAUUCUAGGAGUUUGCAGGUGUGGCUCAGUGAUAAAGCACAGGGUAACAUACAUGAAGCCCUGGGUUACAUCCUCAGCACUACCCAAAAACCAAAAAGCCAAAACACACAAAAAAUAUAUAGCCUGAAAGAAACAAUUAGAAAACUACACUUGUAGGGUAAGAAUGGAAAGAAUAGAAUACAGCAAUAAACAGUGAGAUGAAACCAGGAGAGAAGCAAUCUUUACUGAAUUGGCAUUUUCUCAGUGAGGCCUCUCUUGAUUAAUAUAAAAAUGUCAAGCAUAUAGAUUUUCCUGUUGUGCUUUUUUUUCACAUAUAACUAUAUACCUUAAUUGUUUGUCUCCUUCCAUUAGAAUUUAAAUUCCUUUGGGUCAAGGAUUUUCUCUAUUCACAGCAAUCUAUUUAUUCUAGAAUAGAGCAUGGUGUGUAAUAAGCACUCAAUAUAUUGCUGAAUGAUUAAUAACUGCUUGAGACAAAACCAGAUGGAAUAAAAAAAGUUAGAUUUAGAGAUAAUGCUAGGAUGGACAAAAAAAAAUUUUUUUUUCAGUACUAGAGAGUGAACCCAGGUCUUCAUGCAUGCUAGUCAAACACUCUAUUCCUGAGGUACAGCCCCAGCCCAGGAAUAUUUAUUGCUCACAGAAUACAAGUUGUCCUCCAAUGCUAGCAUCUUCAGUAUUCACAUCUACCAAUAUUACAAAUGUAUUUACCCUUUGAUUCAGUAGUCCCAUUUCAGGGGAUUCAAUCCAUAGAAAAACCUCUACAUUUCACACAUGAACAGUGUUAUUCAUCACAGCCUUCUUUUGAGCAAAUGUUGGAAACAACAAUUUCCUCAUGAAGCUGUCUGGUUAAAUGAAAGAUGAUUGUCCACUUGUUGAAAAGCAAUGGAGUUGAGAGAAAAUAAGAAUGAAUGAAGGGAGGAAGCCCUUUACGUAUCUAUCUGGAAAGAUCUGUGGCUGGCCCCAAUUAUUCACCAAGCUGGACCACUGCUCGUAUACUGUCAAUGCCUGGAUCAUCAUGGCCACUGAGGGUGGGACCCAGAACCCCCCACCCAGAUCAGCCAUUGCCAAGAAAGGGGGACUCUAGCUAAUCUCUGGGGACACAGCCCUGUUGCCUGGGUGAACUCAAACCCUGCUCUGCAAGGUUACCUAGAGAGAGACAAACCACAGGGAGUUCUUUGUCUAUUAGGGUCCAGGCCAACUUAAUUAAGAAACUAGGGAAAGAUUUUCUCACAUGAACCUUUCACAGAUGGGAAAACUGAAGACCAGUGAGGAGAAAGUCAAGGGGGAUCAUGAGUAGCAGGGCAAUUCAGAGCAGUAAUCCUAUAUCUAUUCCUCCAUAAGCCCCACCUGGGCUGGUGCUGAGCUGCUGGACUUGAACUUGUAUAUGACCUUCCUCCAAGCACCUGCUCUCAGCUGUCAGGUCACAUCCCUGAGACCUGCAUUCCCUCAUUUAACCUUUGCUUAAGACAACACAUUAUGAAGGAGGCCUGUGCAUAUUCAGUUCUAUAUUCCUAAGCCUCUAGAACAGAUCCUGGCACACAGAAAGCACUUACUGUUUAUUGAACAAAUCAAUCUGAUCCUCCCAAAAGCUCUUACAUUACACACAAAAGAUGGAGACACAAAGAAUUAUUGGGUUUAUCCAUCCAUCCAUCCAUUCCUCAGGCUCCUGUGUUCUUCCUGUUGCAUGUUAGAAUACAACCAUGAACCCCUGGCAUGUUCCCUACCCUCAGAGCUCACAGCCCAACAUUGGGACAGCAUCAUACCCAUGGGCCAUGGUGGGGCUUUAAGAUGGAGCCUCCUCUAGCACAAUAUCUAGUACUAGCCCCAGACAUAGAGCCAGAGCCAGCCAUGGAACCACAGACAUCUCUAGCUCCAGAGCUGUACACUUUCUGACACCAAACUAUAAUGACAAUUGGUCUCCAAAAAAGGAGCUAAUUCUAGAACUGCCCCAACACUACUGGAUGAGAUAGAGCCAGUUCUAACACUUUUCCAGACACCAUCUUUUGUUCCAGUUCCACAAAUAGAGCACCAGUGACUCUAGCAUCCCCCACAGCACCAGUCCCAGACAUAGGGCCAGCCCCUGAGCUACCUCCAGGGUGAAAUUCAGCACCAGAGGCUUAUGGCCUGCUCUUUGACAGAAGGUUUUUUGUUUUAAUUUUCUUUCAUAUUCUUUAUGAUUUAUUAUGUUUUAUUCUUAAAAUUUAUACAAACCAAAAUUUAGUCUUCAAAUCACUUUCAAUUGUGCCAUUCAUGGAUAUCAACUAUAUUCAAAAGCUGUGCUGCCAUCAGCUCUAUCUCCAGCAUCAGUUCUGGAAAAAUCUCAAAAGCUAGAUUCAGCUGCAGAAGCAGUGACAGAACAAAGAGCAACAUUUAUCUGAGACAUUUCUGUCAUUAGAUGUGGUACCAACUGUCAGUAGUCUCAGAGCCGAAGCCAUCAACAACCAAAUCUAGCUGCAAAUCAGGACCAGAGCCAUCUCUGCAGCAGCUCCAGAGAGAGCUAGUUCCAGCACAGGAUCACCCAUCUCCCGUGGAGCUCAAGUCAGCUCUGCUCCUGGCAUCCUUGCUAGAGGCAGCGCGACCUAUAAAUCUAGAACCAUGUCUAGCACCAGGCAUGUUAGCAGCUGUGGCGCUCCAGCCAGCUCUGCACCAACUGUAUGGGAGUUCCCCAUGCCAGCAGAGUCUGCUUUGGAAAAGAACCCAACACCAUGGGAAUCCCUGACUGUCCUUCC
rnacentral:lncRNA from 1 species